GCUCUCUUAGCUCAGUCGGUUAGAGCGUGGUGCUAAUAACGCCAAGGUCACAGGUUCGACCCCUGUAGGGAGCA